UGCCAGCAGCCGCGGUAAUACGGAGGGUGCAAGCGUUGUUCGGAAUUAUUGGGCGUAAAGCGCGUGUAGGCGGUUCGUUAAGUCGAGUGUGAAAGCCCCGGGCUCAACCCGGGAAGUGCGCUCGAUACUGGCGAACUUGAGUACGGGAGAGGGUAGCGGUAUUCCCGGUGUAGAGGUGAAAUUCGUAGAUAUCGGGAGGAACACCAGUGGCGAAGGCGGCUAUCUGGACCGUUACUGACGCUGAGGCGCGAAAGCGUGGGGAGCAAACAGGAUUAGAUA
rnacentral:rRNA from 1 species